AAAGCAAUAAAUCUUUCUACAAUCUGCUUCCAUUGAGAAAAUCAUACUUAUUGAUGAUAAAAUACCUGCCUGAAGAAGAUUAAAUGGAUAACUGUUUGCCAAGCAGCGAGCUUUAUUUUUGUCACCUUUUGGCACUAUAAUUGUAUUCUCAUUUUUCUCUUCCUUACUUUUCUGAAUGUUAUUUAUAAUUUUUUUAAAUCACACUUUUAAAUGUCAAUUCAAGUUAUGCAUAACCCAAUUACUCAUCAGAAGAGGUGUAGUGUUCAGCCCCUCUUAAGGAAAGAUCAGACUGCAUUAAGCAUGAACUCUCCUUUCUUUUCCUAGGAUUUUAAUGUUUGCUUCUGCCAUCUAUAUUUUCACUCUCCAACCUCCAAGAUGUAUUUAAGGUACAAAAUGUGCUCUGCCAAGGUGGCUACACCCGAUUCUCCAAGGGUGACAACCAUGCUUGAAGGUGCCAAGUUUCCCGGCCGUGGGAUCGCAGUUAAGAAAUAUCACCGUCUGUUCACAUCCUGCCUGAGACGCACACUCCACUUGGGGCUGCUGCGGCUGCAAAUGGUCUCGGUUAGCAGGACCGCGUGGUUCUGUUUCUUCCUGUACAGUGUCACAGCACAAAAUGGGCAUCGUUUGUAGGGCUGCACACAUUUUCCUCAGCCCUAGUUUUGAUUCUCUUGAGCAGGAUGUUGGCUCUCUUCGGUGUGAGUAAUGAGCAAUUCUGCUUCCAAGUGCUUCUAGGAAGAAAGACUGGCUAUAUUUCCCCCCAUGAAGAAGCCAAUUCUAGGAACUAUGGCACAAUAGAAGCUGAAAUUUUCUAAGCCCCGCCUAUAGACACACAGUGUACUUACCUGCAUUUGAAACAUCAUCUUGAUUAUUUAUGCCAUUACUUCAAAAUAGGUACUAUACCAUUGUCUUACAAAUGAGGAUACUAAAGCUCAGAGGACAUGUGUGAUUUUCUUAAACAACUACUAAUUAGAAGCCUGUCAUUUCUCCCACCUGUCUCUGAUUCAGCCUCUCUGUAUCAUGCUGAGCACGAAGGCGCAUUGUCAGGAAUGUACAGUGAACACUCGUGUACUAAUGAUUUUGGUGUUAAUGAAAUUUGACGCAAAUUAACCGGUUUAUACAGAUAGCAUUUUGAUUUUACUAUAAUUAUUACCAUAAUAUAUUUACUUAUUUGUUAUUUUGUGGACUUUUAUUAGUACAUAUUUGAAGUACACAAUGAUUACAUUCACUAUAGGGAACUGGAGCAGGUAUAUAGCACAUUUUAAAACAUUAUUUAUCUAUAACCACAUAGUAACUGUAAACCUAAUAAAACUAAUUACUUCAUCUCCUUCCCUCAGAAAACAGGGGCACAUAUUUGGAAAUUUAAGUUGUUCCCUUCUGUGAUUGUGAGGAUGCCCCACGGAAGGUGAUUAGGAGGCAGAAUAGGAAACCAGAGAGUUUGCAUAAGCCAGGGAAUCAUGCAGUGCUGCCUUCAAAAUCCGCCUUAAAGGCUCAUGGCUAGAAUGAAAUUGUCUUUGCGAAAACAGAGACAUGUAACCCACAGAACUGCUAUGAUGACUGAAUGUAAAAGAAUGAGAAAUGGUUGGUGAAUUGUAAAACAUUACAAAUGUCUUAGUUUAUUCACUAAGAAUGCUGCACAAAUGGUUGCUGGAGGUGGUGAUGGUGGAUUUGCUUUUUAGUUUUUAACUCACAAUAGUUGCUCUUUUCAGGACAUUCAGAUAGCUCUUUGUUAGGUAAUUUUUCGAAAACUGUACAAUGGAAACAUUUGUCUUUUCCAUUUAUAGAGAUAAUUGCUGUUUUCUAAUCAGGCUUGUGAGAAUAUAAGGGAUGUUUCCUAGCUUUGGUGGAGUCACUAUCUCAGCUCUUCCCUUUGGUUCCCAUUUUCCUCUGUAAAUUUUCACAUCAUCUUCAAACUUUUAUUACACUGAUGUGCUUUUUUUUUAUUUACUCACUGAACUGUGAACUCCAUAAAAAUAGUAACUGGUGUUUAUGUCUUUAUACCUAAAGCAUGUAAUGCACUGGCCCAUGGAAAGCACUCAGUAAAUGUAUGUUGCUAAAUGCAUGGUUUUUUUCUAAAUAUACCAAAGAAAUUUUUGUUAUACACUGGGAAUUCCACUGAGAUUUCUUAAAAUAUUUUAUUUAUAAGUAUACAUAAAGUAUGACUUUAAAAUUGAUUUAUACAGACAUUAAUAUUCCAAAGUAACACUUAUAUGUAGGUGCUCAGUAUAAUCUGAAGAAAUAUUUUGUGGACUGUUAUAUAAGCAUCAGCUGGAGAAGGACUUUCAGCAUUUUCCUUCAUAAGAUACAUUACUAGAAAUCAUUUUUUGUGUGCUUUUCAAGUGUUUUGAAUAAAGACCAAUCUUACACCAAGU
rnacentral:lncRNA from 1 species